AAGACGACGACGUUGAUAGGCCGGGUGUGUAAGCGCAGCGAUGCGUUGAGCUAACCGGUACUAAUGAACCGUGAGGCUUAACCUUACAACGCCGAAGGUGUUU
rnacentral:rRNA from 2 species